UGGGGAAUUUUGGACAAUGGACGCAAGUCUGAUCCAGCCAUGCCGCGUGCGGGAAGAAGGCCUUCGGGUUGUAAACCGCUUUUGUCAGGGAAGAAACGAGUUUCUCUAAUACAGAGACUUAAUGACGGUACCUGAAGAAUAAGCACCGGCUAACUACGUGCCAGCAGCCGCGGUAAUACGUAGGGUGCAAGCGUUAAUCGGAAUUACUGGGCGUAAAGCGUGCGCAGGCGGUUUUGUAAGCCUGAUGUGAAAUCCCCGGGCUCAACCUGGGAAUUGCAUUGGAGACUGCAAGGCUAGAAUCUGGCAGAGGGGGAUGGAAUUCCGCGUGUAGCAGUGAAAUGCGUAGAUAUGCGGAGGAACACCGAUGGCGAAGGCAAUCCCCUGGGCCUGCACUGACGCUCAUGCACGAAAGCGUGGGGAGCAAACA
rnacentral:rRNA from 1 species